AAAGAAAAUGUGGUGUGUGUGUGUGUGUGUGUGUGUGUGUAUAUAUAUAUAUAUAUAUAUAUAUACACACACACACACACACACACACACAUACACACA
rnacentral:miRNA from 1 species